UACGAGGGGGGCAAAUGUUGUUCGGAAUCACUGGGCGUAAAGGGAGCGUAGGCGGGCUUCUAAGUUAGAUGUUUAAUCCCGGGGCCCAACCCCGGACAGGCACCUAAAACUGGAAGUCUUGAAUAGUGGAGAGGACGGCGGAAUUGGGGGUGUAGCGGUGGAAUGCGUAGAGAUCCCCAAGAACACCAGUUGCGAAGGCGGCUGACUGGACACAUAUUGACGCUGAGGCUCGAAAGCAUGGGGAGCAAACAGG
rnacentral:rRNA from 1 species